UGGAAAAAGUGUAGCACAGAGUUGUUCAUUCAAGCUAAUAACUACCAUUGAAUACAAUGUAAAAUAAUGGACUUGGUUGUGAAAGUCUAUUUUUUUGCAUUCUGAGGUGUCAAUUUUGAUUCAGACUGAAUUAAUAACACUUCUGAAGGGAAGAAAGCAAAUAUUUUGGUUCCUCUCAAAACAUGCUGAAAGGAAAUGAUGUCAUAUUUUCAAUCUGAGUCACGUGAGAAGAAGUUGGGGAGAAGUGCUUGGAGAGCUUCGUCSGUUUCGGCAUGGGGAAGAAGGAAUGAUUAACGUCCGAGCACGUCGUCAAAGAAUAAACCUGCGGUUUUGACUCCAGCUUCCUGAACGUCACUGACUGUCAGGGCAUCUACAUCAACAACUCGAGGUCCAACUUUGCAAUAUGGCGACUCCCGUCCGACUCCUCAUCUUGUUGGGUGACGAAAGCGCUGAGAGGAUGAAAUUAUCAAGGGUGCCGUUUUGAUUGUCCCUAAAGGGUGCUGAUGCAGAUUUCCGAAGGGAGUGAAUCCUCAAAGCUCUCAUCAUCUACCUGGGAGAACGUGUUGAGGACCUUCUAAAGGAAUACAUGGUCUCCCAGAAAGAUCAAGCCGAGCUGGAGAGGACCAUCAUGGCAGUCUUCGUCUUCAGAGAGAAUUCAAGCCUUCUACAGCAGCCCCAAGACGUUGGGAUUGUCAUUGAUGGUGUGGAAGUCCUCAAUGAGUUGCCUUCUCUUGCAGCUGGAGUGGCAAUGCUCUUUGGACUUUGCUAUGCUCUUAGCAUGGAGUAUCCACAGGGUUUCAGGUUCACCUUUGAGGCCCUUCAGAAGAUCCUGAUGGAGCUUGGUUCCAACAAGAUGACUUCCAAGAUUCGCAAACUCAGUGGUGAACUCAAAACUGCACAGUAGUGUAUAUUUGUGUGUGCUUAAUGUGUGCAUGUAGUUGCCACUGGCAUCUAUUUAAGAGGUAGACCACCUCACAGCACUUUGUUAUACAGGCUCACGGGGUCACUUUCAUGGAGUGCUUUUGUUGGAAUUUUAGUUCUUUGAUGAUGUUUACAGAUGCAACAUUCCUUCAAGUUCAGAUGUGUUUGAACAGUACAACAACAGUGAAUGCUUUCUGUCCAUUUAAUUUAGCUUGAUAGGCCAUAUUGUCUUUAUUUCAUUUCUCUGAUGUAGAGCAACAAUGACAUGUUUAUAUUUGUUUGUCUGAAAAUGCAACUUUUUUUGUCCUUUUUUACUUGAGGAAUAAAUGGCUUAGAAAAAAACUGUUGCUGGAGUGUGUUAAGUGUGAUG